rnacentral:lncRNA from 1 species
UUACACAAAAACAAUUUGACAUUUCUCAAGUUGCACAAUCCCAAUUUUGCCCAAAUGAGAAAUCAGAUGAAUUUUCGAUAGAAAAUGACGAAACAGAGAGAGAUACUUACAUGCUAGAAUGGCAAAGAUGAUGGCCCAAGGUUUGUGCAGGGGAAACGACGCCGUAUUGUGGUUCUCUGACUCGCUAGGGUUUCGAAGUGUGAGGAGUGGGGAAGGUGUGCACA